rnacentral:rRNA from 1 species
AACGAACGCUGGCGGCAGGCUUAACACAUGCAAGUCGAACGAGCUGGGGGCUUCGGUCCCCGAUGCUAGUGGCGCACGGGUGAGUAACACGUGGGAAUAUGCCCUUUAGUACGGAAUAACCAAGGGAAACUUUGGCUAAUACCGUAUACGCCCUUCGGGGGAAAGAUUUAUCGCUAAAGGAUUAGCCCGCGUCUGAUUAGGUAGUUGGUGAGGUAAUGGCUCACCAAGCCGACGAUCAGUAGCUGGUCUGAGAGGAUGAUCAGCCACACUGGGACUGAGACACGGCCCAGACCCCCACGGAAGGCCGCAGUGGGGAAUAUUGGACAAGGGGGGCAACCCUGAACCAUCCAUGGCGGGGGAGGAAAAAAGGCCUUCGGGUUUAAAAGCUCUUUCGACGGGGACGAUGAUGACGGGCCCCGAUUAAGAAGCCCCGGCAAACUUCGU